rnacentral:rRNA from 1 species
UUUUAAAGCUCCGUGGUCUCCUCGGCGCAUUGUAGACUAAAGUUGGUGUAUCUUGUACAGCCCGGGUAUAGAUCCGUUGGAACGCGGUAUCAUAGAGGGUGAGAAUCCCGUCUGUGACUCGGUGUCUGUGCAUCUACGUUACGCUAACGACGAGUCGGGUUGUUUGGGAAUGCAGCCCAAAAUGGGUGGUAAAUUUCAUCUAAAGCUAAAUAUGGGCACGAGACCGAUAGCGAACAAGUACCAUGAGGGAAAGAUGAAAAGAACUUUGAAAAGAGAGUCAAAAAGUACGUGAAACCGUUAAAGGGGAAACGAAUGGGGCUAGCAUUUGUACUUGCCAUAAUCAGUCAGACGUCUUGAGGUGCAGCUGUAUUGAGAGUGUUAAAGCCUCAUGCGGUUGUUUCCAAGGGAACGGCUGGUGCACUUGUGGUUGGUACAGGCCAACAUCAGUUCGGGCUUUGUGAAACACUUCAGGGGAAGGUAGUUACGGCGCUUCGGUGUCGUAAUGUUAUAACCUCUGUUGCAAAGCAAGGCCUGGACUGAGGAGUAGCAGCACGCAACUUCGGAGAGCUACCGCUGUUGUUGCUGGCAGGUUGGACUGUCUAAAGGCAGUGCUGUCUGUCACGCAGCCUCAUACGGGGUCUACCCAGAAACGUGCUUAUGAUGUUGGCGAAAUGGCUUCAUCCGACCCGUCUUGAAACACGGACCAAGGAGUCUAACAUAUACGCGAGUCUUUGGGUUGAAAGCCCGCAGGCGCAAUGAAAGUGAAGGUACACUUGGUGUGCUGAGGUGAGAUUUACAAUUGCAUCAUCGACCGAUCUGGAUGGUUUCCUGAAAGAUUUGAGUAAGAGCGUAUCUGUUGGGACCCGAAAGAUGGUGAACUAUGCCUGAACAGGGUGAAGUCUGAGGAAACUCAGAUGGAAGCUCGUAGCGAUUCUGACGUGCAAAUCGAUCGUCUGAUUUGGGUAUAGGGGCGAAAGACUAAUCGAACUAUCUAGUAGCUGGUUCCCUCCGAAGUUUCCCUCAGGAUAGCUGGAACUAUUAGCAGUUUUAUCAGGUAAAGCGAAUGAUUAGAGGCCUUGGGGUUGAAAUAACCUCAACCUAUUCUCAAACUUUAAAUAGGUAAGAAGCCUGGCUUGCUUAAUUGAAGUCAGGCACUGAAUGCAAGUUCCAAGUGGGCCAUUUUUGGUAAGCAGAACUGGCGAUGCGGGAUGAACCGAACGCGAAGUUAAAGUGCCAAAAUUCACGCUCACCUAGAACCCAGAAAAGGUGUUGGCUGAUGAAGACAGCAGGACGGUGGCCAUGGAAGUCGGAACCCGCUAAGGAGUGUGUAACAACUCACCUGCCGAAUCAGCCAGCCCUGAAAAUGGAUGGCGCUCAAGCGUGAUACUUAUACUUCGCCGUUGCUGUAAGAGACUAUACCGCAACGAGUAGGAGGGCGUGGAGGUCGUGAAGCAGCCUAGGGCGUAAGCCUGGGUGAA